rnacentral:misc_RNA from 1 species
AUGCGAUAAGUAAUGUGAAUUGCAGAAUUCAGUGAAUCAUCGAAUCUUUGAACGCACCUUGCGCUCCUUGGUAUUCCGAGGAGCAUGCCUGUUUGAGUGUCAUUAAAUUCUCAACCUCACCAGUUUUCUGAACUGUUCUCCGAGGCUUGGAUGUGGGGGUUUGUGCAGGCUGCCUCAGCGCGGUCUGCUCCCCUGAAAUGCAUUAGCGAGUUCGAUACUGAGCUCCGUCUAUUGGUGUGAUAAUUAUCUACGCCGUGGAUCGGGGCUUAGACUCGCUUCUAACCGUCCGCAAGGACAAUACCUUGACAAUUUGACCUCAAAUCAGGUAGGACUACCCGCUGAACUUAA